GCAGUGGUGGUUCAGUGGUGGAAUUCUCACCUUCCAUACAGGAGUCCCAGGUUCAGUUCCUGGUCAAUGCA
rnacentral:tRNA from 1 species